UACAGUGAGUAGUCGCUGUCUCGUUUUAACGGGGCAGAGGAAAGUCGAGACACGCACACCAGGUUGGAGAAGCCAAGAGGCAACAACCGGUGUAAAAUGGUGCCCGGCGCAAGCCGGGGCAGGGCGACCUGACGACGGCAAAAGUGACUCUCCGAGUUGCAAGUAGCCAUAAAGUGCCACAGAAACUAUGUCACCGGGCGACCGGUGAGUGCAAGGGUAAACUCCACCAGCGUGCAACCCAAAUAGGCGGGAACAAUUUGUUACCUGCGGGUAGGGGCACCUCGCUAAGCGAGGAAGGAGAUUAUGUCUCCUUAGAUAGAUGACUACUAAAACAGAAUCUCGCUUACGGCU
rnacentral:RNase_P_RNA from 3 species